rnacentral:rRNA from 1 species
UGGUCAAGUUAUUAAGGGUGCAGGGCGGAUGCCUUGGCACUAGGAGCCGAUGAAGGACGUGAUAAGCUGCGAUAAGC